rnacentral:rRNA from 1 species
ACCAGACUUGCCCUCUCAUAGAUACUCGUUAAAGGGUUUAAAUUGUACCCAUUCCGAUGACCGGCCUCAUAAGAGAACGGUCUCGUUAUUUUUCGUCACUACCUCCUCGUGCUGAGAGUGGGUAAUUUUCGUGCCUGCUGCCUUCCUUAGAUGUGUUCGCGAUUUCUCAGGCGAACUCUCCGGAGCCGAACCCUUAUUCUCCGUUACGCGUGAUCACCAUGGUAGUCAGAUACACUACCAUCGAAAGUUGAUACGGCAGAUACUUGAAAGACACGUCGCCGGUGCAAGACCAUGCGAUCAGCUCAGUUACUAUGAGUCAACCAGAAACAGCCGAAGCCGCUUGGUUUUGUUCUAAUAAAUGCACUCUUCCCGUGAGGUCAGAGCUUUAAUGCAUGUAUUAGCUCUAGAAUUACCACAGUUAUCCAAGUAGGAUUGUGUCAAGAUCAAGUAAAUUAUAGCUGUUAUAAUGAGCCAUUCGCGGUUUCACGAUUAAAUCGUUUAUACUUAGACAUGCAUGGCUUAAUCUUUGAGAUAAGCACAUCAGUUCAGGCAGGAUCAACCAG